rnacentral:tRNA from 1 species
GGGCAUAUGGUUUAGUGGUAUAAUACUCCCUUAGCAUACAGCUUAGCCUGUCAAAUGGUUGGGAGUGGUCCUGGGUUCGAUUCCCAGUUUGUCCA